GUCGAGCGAACGGACGAGAAGCUUGCUUCUCUGAUGUUAGCGGCGGACGGGUGAGUAACACGUGGAUAACCUACCUAUAAGACUGGGAUAACUUCGGGAAACCGGAGCUAAUACCGGAUAAUAUUUUGAACCGCAUGGUUCAAAAGUAAAAGACGGUCUUGCUGUCACUUAUUGAUGGAUCCGCGCUGCAUUAGCUAGUUGGUAAGGUAACGGCUUACCAAGGCAACGAUGCAUAGCCGACCUGAGAGGGUGAUCGGCCACACUGGAACUGAGACACGGUCCAGACUCCUACGGGAGGCAGCAGUAGGGAAUCUUCCGCAAUGGGCGAAAGCCUGACGGAGCAACGCCGCGUGAGUGAUGAAGGUCUUCGGAUCGUAAAACUCUGUUAUUAGGGAAGAACAUAUGUGUAAGUAACUGUGCACAUCUUGACGGUACCUAACCAGAAAGCCACGGCUAACUACGUGCCAGCAGCCGCGGUAAUACGUAGGUGGCAAGCGUUAUCCGGAAUUAUUGGGCGUAAAGCGCGCGUAGGCGGUUUUUUAAGUCUGAUGUGAAAGCCCACGGCUCAACCGUGGAGGGUCAUUGGAAACUGGAAAACUUGAGUGCAGAAGAGGAAAGUGGAAUUCCAUGUGUAGCGGUGAAAUGCGCAGAGAUAUGGAGGAACACCAGUGGCGAAGGCGACUUUCUGGUCUGUA
rnacentral:rRNA from 1 species